rnacentral:rRNA from 1 species
GGGGGUAGGCUACAGAGAGUUUGAUCCUGGAUCGAACUCUCGGUAUCUGAGUGUGGUCACUUGCAUCAUGAUUUACAUUUGAGUGAGUGGCGAACUGGUGAGUAACACGUGGGAAACCUGCCCAGAAGCGGGGGAUAACACCUGGAAACAGAUGCUAAUACCGCAUAACAACUUGGACCGCAUGGUCCGAGUUUGAAAGAUGGCUUCGGCUAUCACUUUUGGAUGGUCCCGCGGCGUAUUAGCUAGAUGGUGGGGUAACGGCUCACCAUGGCAAUGAUACGUAGCCGACCUGAGAGGGUAAUCGGCCACAUUGGGACUGAGACACGGCCCAAACUCCUACGGGAGGCAGCAGUAGGGAAUCUUCCACAAUGGACGAAAGUCUGAUGGAGCAACGCCGCGUGAGUGAAGAAGGGUUUCGGCUCGUAAAACUCUGUUGUUAAAGAAGAACAUAUCUGAGAGUAACUGUUCAGGUAUUGACGGUAUUUAACCAGAAAGCCACGGCUAACUACGUGCCAGCAGCCGCGGUAAUACGUAGGUGGCAAGCGUUGUCCGGAUUUAUUGGGCGUAAAGCGAGCGCAGGCGGUUUUUUAAGUCUGAUGUGAAAGCCUUCGGCUCAACCGAAGAAGUGCAUCGGAAACUGGGAAACUUGAGUGCAGAAGAGGACAGUGGAACUCCAUGUGUAGCGGUGAAAUGCGUAGAUAUAUGGAAGAACACCAGUGGCGAAGGCGGCUGUCUGGUCUGUAACUGACGCUGAGGCUCGAAAGUAUGGGUAGCAAACAGGAUUAGAUACCCUGGUAGUCCAUACCGUAAACGAUGAAUGCUAAGUGUUGGAGGGUUUCCGCCCUUCAGUGCUGCAGCUAACGCAUUAAGCAUUCCGCCUGGGGAGUACGGCCGCAAGGCUGAAACUCAAAGGAAUUGACGGGGGCCCGCACAAGCGGUGGAGCAUGUGGUUUAAUUCGAAGCUACGCGAAGAACCUUACCAGGUCUUGACAUACUAUGCAAAUCUAAGAGAUUAGACGUUCCCUUUCGGGGACAUGGAUACAGGUGGUGCAUGGUUGUCGUCAGCUCGUGUCGUGGAGAUGUUGGUAAGUCCCGCACGGAGCGCAACCCUUAUUAUCAGUGGCAGCAUAGUGGGCACUCCUGGUGAGAACUGCGUGACAAACGGGAGGAAGGGUGGGGAUGACGUCCAAUCAUCAUGCCUUAUGACCUGCUACGCACGGUCUACAAUGAAUGUACAACGAGUUCGCGAACCUCGCCGGAGAGAUAGAGCCUUAU